rnacentral:lncRNA from 1 species
GGUGGGACACAGGUGCUGGAUCUCCAUCCCACCAGGUGGGACACAGGUGCUGGAUCUCCAUCCCACCAGGUGGGACACAGGUGCUGGAUCUCCAUCCCAGCCCGUGCCCCAUCACCCCAGCAGUGACCCACGGUGGAUCAGACCCCCCCCGAGCAGCACCCCCUGCUCAGGUCCCCACGUGUGGUGGCUCCGCAGCAGCGAGGUGGGAGCCCCGUGCUCCACGUCACUAUUUAAUUAGACGCCCCUGAUUAACAAAACUUGGCGUUCGGCUUCCUCCUGCCCUCAUCUUUCCUGGCUCCGAAUCAAUGGCUUUGAUAUGCUAAUUAGGGAGUAAUUUAAUUUCAAAAGGCCGCAAUUAACAAGGGUGUUGUGGACAUGCUGUAGUUAAGCGGCGUAAUCUAAUUUGCAUUAGUAACAAGCAGGGACUAAUUAGAAGCUUAAUUAGACACUUAGACGGCUCUUGUGUUUACUUUCUUAAUGAGAUGGAGUGGGGUUCCUUUUUUUUUUUAAUCUUUUCAAGAGCACAGCGAGGGAAGCCGGGACGGAGCAGGAUGGAGCAGCAGCCCCGGUGCCCGGCGCGUGCUCCGGGGUGGAGCGGCAGCUCUGCUGUCCCAACAUCAGCCUGGCCCGUUCUGGGAUGGCUUUUGUGUUCCUGGAAGCUUGGCAGGGAGCGGGAGAGGUGCCAGCUGUGCAGAGGAGCAUCCUGCAGAUUUCUGAGGGAUUUGGGGGAUUUGCUGGCUCCGUGCUCCUUCGGGAUCCGUCUGCUCCCUCUGCAUCUGGCGAGGCUGGAGCUGGGAGGAAGGCUCUGGAAUUCUGCUUUGGGACUGGGAUGUGCUGGGAAGGGGGGAAACAGCCUCUGGAAUGUCUUGGUGUCGGUUUGUGUCGUGUCACCUGUGCUGUCCCAGCUCGCGGAGAUGUGAUGGGGGAGUUGUCCCAGUUGUGUUUCCCCCUGUUUUUCCUGAUCCCUCCCUGCUGGGUGAUGGUUUUCUUGGAGUUUGUGGCUGGGGAAGCCCAGGGCAGGGUCACCCGCAGUGGUCAGGGGUGGGGAAUCGAGGACAGGGACAGCAGAGGGGAGGUGACACUGGGUCUGGCCCAUGAAGGGCAGCCCAAAAUUACAGAGCUGCCGAGGGCUGCGGUGCUGAGGAUAAUGAAAAAUAGGGAAAGCUGCUGAAAUCGGUGUUGGGGCAGAGGUUUCUGGGGAGCUCGUGGUGUGGCUGUGGCUGUUCCAGCAGCUCCUGGAGGCCGGGAAAUGCCGUUGGAUUUCGGCGUCCGUGGAUUGAGGUGGAGCAGUGGCAUCGCUUUGGAUCCUUCUGCAUGGCCCAAAAAUGCCUUGGGAGCUUUUUGUGGGGGGAAAUCGCCGCUUCACCUGCUCUCGCUGCUGCUAAAACCCCACAGCCAUCGCACCGAGUGCGUGAUUUUGGUCACCUCCGUGCUGAUCCUUCCCGCCUGGAAGGCUCCUGGCAGUGCCGGGCGCACUCGUGGUGUUCCCACGGGAAUCGCGGCACACGCGGUGGGACCCCAGCCCCUGCUCCGGGCAUCCAUCAGCCUGUUAAUUGCGCUAAUUAGAGAGUGCGGAGGUGUUAAUUGGAAAACCCCGGGAUCGUGGCUGUUUGCGGGAGGGAUGGAUGUCAAUAAACCGGGAUUGAUGGCUGGGACGGCGCGCAGGUUAGCGGCGAGUCGGGGGAUGUCGAGGAGAUGUUGCCGCUCAGAUGAGGCAAUUGUUAAUUAAAAGCCGCGGUAAUUAAUACACCCUCGUUGCCAUAUGGUCCUGCCCAAGGCAGGGGGGUUCGUUGCUCCGUUUGCGAUUCUCCGUUCCCUUCCCUUUGUCCUGCGGAAGGUGCGUGGUUGGAUAAAAGGGGGGAACAAAAAAGGCAGAGCGGUGGUUCAGAGCUCCGAGUCAGAAAUGGCAAUUAAUGGUGAUUAGCGAUCCGUUUGUGCAGCUCCUGUCGGAGGGGGCUCCUCGUUCCCCUUUUAAGCCAGCCCACCCUGGAUGCGGGUGUGGCUGGGUGCCCGGGCGAGGGUCGGGUCUGCUCCUGCCCUCUGCGGAGCGUCCCGGCGGUGUUGGUGCCGUUUGAGCUGCGAUGCUGCACAUCCCGCCCAGCCCUGCUCUUCCCACUCCUCCCUGGCUGGAAAAGUGCUUGUUCCUAAUUUAAAUCCACUUUAUAACCUCGCAGACACCGGCUUCGGUUUUAUUUCCCCCCCUCACCCUCCUCUUUUUUUUUUUUUUUUUUUUUUUCUUUAAAUGAACCUCCCCCACACACAACUCCCAAUACUCAGAAACUACUUUUUUUUUUUUUUUUUUUUUUUUUUCCUUUAAGGUUUUGUAAAACUUUUUAUAGGGAUGGAAAUAUUUCCAUUAUUAUGAUGAUGACUUUCUUUUAUGACUUCCCUCGCAGCGUUGUCGGGAUCCCAGACACUCCAGCAUCCCCGAGGGGGUUUGGGAACGGGAAGUGGAGUUUUACAGGACUUGGAGAGGGAGCUCGGCUGGCCCGCUGUCCCCAGCUCCGGGAAUCACCCGGGCUGCAGGAAUCCCUCUGGCAGGGCUGGAACCACCAGAGCUCCUCCACCAGCAGAGAUUUCCUCCUAAUUCCCAACAGUUAAACUCCAGGUUGUGCCCCAAGCCAGGAAAGUUUUAUAUCCUUUCCAAAACCUUUUUUUUUUUUUUUUUUUAAUUUUUUUUGGGCCUUUUUUAAUACUUCCUGUUGUAACUCUGGAUAUUCCUGUUCUCCGUGUAAAAGUCAAAUCCCUGCUCGAAUCCUGAUGAGUUUCUAGCCCUGGUGAUGCCGUUUGAGUGUUGGACAUGGGACGUUCUCGUGGGUUUCCGAGGGAAAAGGGGAAUAGGAGCAGCAAUAAUUUCAUAUUCCUGAACUCGAAAUCAUUGGAAUUCAAAGUGAGGAAGGAAAAAAAUGUAGUUUUAAGGCAAAAGGUGAAGGGUUUAUUCCAGAUUUUUGCAUCCCAUCCUUGGGAAGCUGCUCCAACCACGCCGUGCUCCAACCAAACCCAAAUCCCAAUAAUCCCCUUAACCUUGAGCUGUCCCACAGCCACCAGUGUGUCACCCCCAGAGCCCUGGGACAGUGGCAGGGAGCCAGGAGCUCCCCUUGGGAAUGGAUGUCACUCAUAUCCCCUGCGGAAAUGACUUUUGAAAUGCAGAUAAUCUCCAACAUGCAAAUGAGCAGCUCGCUGCUCCCUGUUUAAUAUGAAUGAUCAGCCCCUGAAUAGCGAUUAUUACACGCCACAUUUCAGCAAUUAUGUUGUUCCUGGUUUGUCUCGCUGCCUUUUGGGGUGUGGAAGGGGGGAAAUAGGGGAAAAAAAAAAAAAAAAAAAGGGAAGAAAAAAAAAAAGGGAAGGAGUAAAGGGAGGUGGUGUUUCUUUCAUCCCAUCCCGCUGGUUUUGUUCCCAUCUUGUUACAAACUCGGCGAGCGCCGGCGGGACGGAGGGGUGUGGGAAUAAAACUGCUUUUCCAUGGAGGGAAACGUGUGCUGGGAAGGAGGGAGAGGCCCUCGCCCCUGGGUGGAUUCCCUGCUGCCACUUCUCUGCAAGAGGCAGAGACCAGAGCUGGGUGUGCUGCUCCUGUUUCCUCCUGUGCCAGCCCAAAUCCUCCCAGAAAAAGGCACCCUCAGCUUCACCAACCUGCUGCUCAUCCGAGCCCACUGAGCAAAAUCUGGGAGAAAGGAAGGAAGGAUUUUCCAGCCCAUGAGCCCUCAUUUCCACAUCCCAGCUCUGCUGUCCCUUGGGGUUUCCUCAGCCUGGCACCGUCUUUCAGGGGUUUUUCUUUCCUGCCAGGUGUUUUUCUUUCCUGCUGGGAAGUGGUGGUUUGCUGGGAGAUGAAGCCCUUGGAGGGAAUGUUUUGACUUUGUUAGGAUUUUCAGGGUGGAAUCCGAGGUGCAGGUUCCCUCUGCUCGGUGUGCAGCCUGGCUGGGGUUUUGGUUGUGCUCUCACUGUGAAAUACUUGGGGAUUUGGGAAAAAAAAAAAACCAAAAAAAAAAAACCAACGGAUUCCUGGAGCUCUGUGCCUUGCACCGGGCUCGGGCAAAGCUGGAAUUGUGGGUUCUCCUAAGGACUGGGUUGCACUUGCUUUACCUAGGGACACGCAGCACUGUAGCAACUUCUCAUUGAUUUUUUUUUGGGGAGGGGGUGAUUGAGCGCGGCUAAAACCCAGACAAGCUUUAACCUGCCGUCCCGCUGGGACCGGGCACAAGCAGGGGACGUCGGGCCGCGUUCUCACUGCUCUCCUCUC